rnacentral:tRNA from 1 species
GUCUUUAUGGUGUAGUGGUCAGCACGCUCGACGCUAACCGAGAGGUCCGUGGUUCGAGUCCCGGCAAAGGCU